GAAAUGUCUUGCAAAAGCCAUACAAUAAAACUUGAAUAGGAAGUUAUUUUAGAACGCAAAUUGUAUUUAAAUAUCAGCUGUAAAAAAAAUGUACAUGACAUGCCAGAGAUAUGAUCAGAUUUCUUUAAUUUCCGUAUUAAGUCUGUGACAGACAUUUAGACUUAGUUGCAUGUGUAUUGUUAAAAAAGAAAACCGUCAAAAAUACAUUUCGUUGACAAUUAUAUUCUUGAUUUUUUUUAAGUGUACAUAUGGUGCUGUGAUUAAAUCGUCAUUGUUUAAUAAUGGAGAUAUAAGCGCAGACGCCAGCAGUGUGAAGUCCUGUCACCUGCGCCACACGUCACGUGACAUGAUGAAACUGUGAGGCCAUAGGUUUGAAUGGAGCAGUAGACGCACUACAGUACAUUAUUCCACCUGAGAAACAUUUUCAUGCACAUCUGCUCUGAAAACUACACAACUCCCCACAUCACUGACAGGAAAAAAACCCGUUCGAACAUACUCUGUACAAUGUCUGCCGAUGAGUGUAUAUCACAGAGUGAUUCCAAGGAAAUUCCUGUCUCUGGAAAUGAUACUGAAGGUUCUGUUAAAACUGAAGUAUAUCAGACCGUAAAUCUCCAUGACUCCAAAAACCAACCAAAUGGGGAUUGUUCAUUCCCUGUCAUGAAGAAUAACACAGGUACAGUCUUCACAUGAAAGUUCACAAUAGGUUUGCAUAUUGAAAACACAACUAUUUUGCAUAAAUACUGAAGAGCAUUCAGCAUCGGUCAUGUUGUCCUUGCUGACAAAUAUAAAAAAUAGAUUUUUCACAAAAUACAUUCUUGUGAAAAUGACAAAUGAUAUGAUUUCUGAAUGUCACUUUUGACUUUUUUCAUCUUAUAAUUACAACCGUUAAACAAUUAGGCAGAAAAAAAAUUAAAAUAUAAUUUAUAAAUGUAGCUGCUGCAGAAAUUGUUUGUUGAAAUUGGAGUUUUUAAUUUAACAAGUAAAUACUAUUUUAGUCUUUCUACUUCAAAAUGCAAUGUUUAAUUUUUAUGUGAUACUUGCUGUUUCUUUGUAAUAUAUUAAACCAUACAAGUUAAUAAUAAAUACAGAAUUUGUUCUGUCCCUUUUUUUUUU
ensembl:lncRNA